rnacentral:rRNA from 1 species
AUUGAACGCUGGCGGCAGGCCUAACACAUGCAAGUCGAGCGGAAACGAGUUAUCUGAACCUUCGGGGAACGAUAACGGCGUCGAGCGGCGGACGGGUGAGUAAUGCCUAGGAAAUUGCCCUGAUGUGGGGGAUAACCAUUGGAAACGAUGGCUAAUACCGCAUGAUGCCUACGGGCCAAAGAGGGGGACCUUCGGGCCUCUCGCGUCAGGAUAUGCCUAGGUGGGAUUAGCUAGUUGGUGAGGUAAGGGCUCACCAAGGCGACGAUCCCUAGCUGGUCUGAGAGGAUGAUCAGCCACACUGGAACUGAGACACGGUCCAGACUCCUACGGGAGGCAGCAGUGGGGAAUAUUGCACAAUGGGCGCAAGCCUGAUGCAGCCAUGCCGCGUGUAUGAAGAAGGCCUUCGGGUUGUAAAGUACUUUCAGUCGUGAGGAAGGCGGCGUCGUUAAUAGCGGCGUUGUUUGACGUUAGCGACAGAAGAAGCACCGGCUAACUCCGUGCCAGCAGCCGCGGUAAUACGGAGGGUGCGAGCGUUAAUCGGAAUUACUGGGCGUAAAGCGCAUGCAGGUGGUUUGUUAAGUCAGAUGUGAAAGCCCGGGGCUCAACCUCGGAAUAGCAUUUGAAACUGGCAGACUAGAGUACUGUAGAGGGGGGUAGAAUUUCAGGUGUAGCGGUGAAAUGCGUAGAGAUCUGAAGGAAUACCGGUGGCGAAGGCGGCCCCCCGGACAGAUACUGACACUCAGAUGCGAAAGCGUGGGGAGCAAACAUG